CAGUAUCAGUAAGAACAUUCAAAAGUAUUGAAAUUCUGGAUUAUUUUGCCACCUUGCCCCCUCCCUCCCUACUUCCGUCACGUCUGGAAAAGUGGUUUGUGUGACAUUUGCGUUCUUUGCAAAAUAUCUCGACAGUGAAGUUGCUUCAAUGUCUUCCCUUGUGUGGGAGUACUGGGAAUGAUCAUUGCCCUGACACGUCACAGAUUGUUUCUGGAGCCUCGGCUCUGGGCCACUGUGAGUCAGUGAUCCCUUCAGUUCUGGGGCUGGCCUGGUGUUAAUGUUCACUUCACCCAGUCCCCAUGGGAUCUAGAUGCUUGGUUCAAAGGGGUGCUCUGCCCUGGGUGGUCCUGAGGCUCUGACCUUCCUCCACCUCCCAGGCCCGAACUGGAUCUUGAAGGAGGUGGAGUAGGGGAGGGUGGGUUGUCAUUGGCUAAGGUUCUUGUCCUCCUGGAAUUUGGCACUUCGAGUGCUGGGCACGGUGAAUCCCAGAUAACAUCGUCUUCCAUCGUCCAAGUUUUGAGUUCCAUUGGCAGCCAGAUGGCAUAAUGAAUUCACUGAGAAGCAGUGCCUCUGGGCCAAGAAUGUGCAGGAGCUGUGCCAGCACCCUCUCCUUUAACUCUCCGAAGACUUGCUGGCCGAUCAGCUCGCUCAACACACAGACAUACAAUGCAGCCCCACCCUUGGGUGCCUGAGCCAGGGGAGGAGACACCGUCAGUGCUCACGCCAGAGGCACAUGAAGGCCGCGGACACCAUCUCGGCUGCCACCACCCUCUCCCAAAG
rnacentral:lncRNA from 1 species